UACGUAGGCAGCGAGCGUUGUUCGGAGUUACUGGGCGUAAAGCGUGUGUAGGCUGCCAAGCAAGUCGGAUGUGAAAGCCCCAGGCUCAACCUGGGAAGUGCACUCGAUACUGCUUGGCUUGAGUAUCGGAGAGGUUGGUGGAAUUCUCGGUGUAGAGGUGAAAUUCGUAGAUAUCGAGAGGAACACCGGUGGCGAAGGCGGCCAACUGGACGAAUACUGACGCUGAGACACGAAAGCGUGGGGAGCAAACAGG
rnacentral:rRNA from 1 species